rnacentral:rRNA from 1 species
UGCAAGACUCUCUGACGGUACCGGAGGAGGAAGCCCCGGCUAACUACGUGCCAGCAGCCGCGGUAAUACGUAGGGGGCAAGCGUGUCCGGAUUCACUGGGCGUAAAGCGCGCGCAGGCGGUGAUGUAAGUCUGAGGUGAAAACCCGAAGCUCAACUUCGGGACUGCCUUUGGAUACUGCGUCACUUGAGGAUAGGAGAGGCAAGGGGAAUUCCACGUGUAGCGGUGAAAUGCGUAGAGAUGUGGAGGAACACCUGUGGCGAAGGCGCCUUGCUGGCCUAUUUCUGACGCUGAGGCGCGAAAGCGUGGGGAGCAAACAGGAUUAGAUACCCUGGUAGUCCACGCUGUAAACGAUGAGUGCUAGGUGUAGGUGGGCUCAUACCCAUCUGUGCCGAAGCUAACGCAUUAAGCACUCCGCCUGGGGAGUACGGUCGCAAGACUGAAACUCAAAGGAAUUGACGGGGGCCCGCACAAGCAGUGGAGCAUGUGGUUUAAUUCGAAGCAACGCGAAGAACCUUACCAGGAUUUGACAUCCCAUAGACCAGUCUAGAGAUAGACUUUCCCUUCGGGGCUGUGGUGACAGGUGGUGCAUGGUUGUCGUCAGCUCGUGUCGUGAGAUGUUGGGUUAAGUCCCGCAACGAGCGCAACCCUUACUUUGUGUUGCCAGCAUUCAGUUGGGCACUCACAAGGGACUGUCGCCGAUAAGGCGGAGGAAGGUGGGGAUGACGUCAAAUCAUCAUGCCCCUUAUGUCCUGGGCUACACACGUGCUACAAUGGGCGGUACAACGGGAUGCGAAGCCGCGAGGUGGAGCCAAACCCUGAAAACCGUUCGUAGUUCGAAUUGUAGGCUGCAACUCGCCUACAUGAAGCCGGAAUUGCUAGUAAUCGCGGAUCAGCAUGCCGCGGUGAAUCCGUUCCCGGGCCUUGUACACACCGCCCGUCACACCACGAGAAUGGGCAACGCCCGAAGUCGGUGGGGUAACCUUUACGGGAGCUAGCCGCCGAAGGUGGGGCCUGUGAUUGGGGUGAAGUCGUAACAAGGUAACC